AAGCGUUGGAUUGUUCACC
rnacentral:piRNA from 2 species